UCAAGUUGUGGUUCCGAACCUACUGG
rnacentral:piRNA from 1 species